GGCUGCUUGGUCGAGAGGUAACGGCUUUGUCACUUUCAGUGCCAUCAGGCUGAAGCCUGCGGGUUCGAUUCCCGCGUCAGCCA